rnacentral:rRNA from 1 species
UACCAGCACCCCGAGUGGUCGGGACGUUUAUUGGGCCUAAAGCAUCCGUAGCCGGUUCUACAAGUCUUCCGUUAAAUCCACCUGCUUAACAGAUGGGCUGCGGAAGAUACUACAGAGCUAGGAGGCGGGAGAGGCAAGCGGUACUCGAUGGGUAGGGGUAAAAUCCGUUGAUCCAUUGAAGACCACCAGUGGCGAAGGCGGCUUGCCAGAACGCGCUCGACGGUGAGGGAUGAAAGCUGGGGGAGCAAACCGGG